GCUCCUAAGUCAGAGGAUCUCGUUCCCCCAACCAAACCCUAACCCGGCAGAGGCGGCAGCAGCACAUCCCACGGCCCCGCGCAUCCCUUCCCUGCGCGCCGCUCCGUCGACAACCUCCUUCGAGCUCCACCGACGACCUCCUCCUCGCCUUCUUCCGGGCCAAGACGGUCGAGAGAACUACCACUUCCCACCGCGCAAGGAAGGCGUGGAUUCAAUUUCUCGCGGACAGACGGACGGACGAGCAAGCGGCGCCGCGAGGAAGGAAAAGCCACCGACGCCCGCGCGGCGGAGGAGUGUGGAGCGGCCUCGGCGGCGGCUGCUGCGAUGGGGCUGCUUUCCAACUGGGUGGAGCGGUCGGACAUCUACACAUGGAGGGCCGUCUACGCAUACACCCACCACGGUGGACUAAAAUUUAGAUCUGGAAGCACCAUUGUUGUUCAGGCGCGACCUCGACGACCUUGGGACGUGGCGACAAGCGAGGAAGUAGUGCUUGGCCUGCAACUGACGUCCUUGUGAUCUCCUGGCCCUGGCCCUGGCACCUCAUGGCGAAGCCCUGGACGAGCUUCUGGCUAGGGAAUGGCGGCUGGCUUCAGGGAACUUGAGUGCAGCUGGGUGACACCCGCUAAUGAUCGACCUGGAGGUGAACAAGCUCGCCGGAUCGAUCAGACCUGGAGUGCAGCUGGGGACGAUCCAGUGAAUUGAUCGGACCAGGAGUGCAGCUGGGCGACGACCGACGAUCCAGUGGAUCGAUCAGGCCUGGAGUGAAGUUGGGCGACGAGCCUGUGGAUCGAUCGGGGCGAUCGGAGCUGGAUGCGCGCGCGUGGAUCGUGUGGCGAGCUGGGCCACGUGUGCGCAUGGAUGGGGAGGAACGAGUCUCCCUGGGGGAGGAGGAGAUGGCCGGGGGAGGAUCGAUUCCGGUGGAGAUGAGAAGCUGGCCGGUGGCGGAUUGAUUCCGGUGGCGGACGAUGGGGAAUCGAGAUCUGGAUUCGAAUUGUAGAUAGGGGUAUCGAUGUCUUUUUGUAGCGUUUUCACCUGGUCGGAACAGCUCCCCGACGUCUUAUAUUUCUAGACGGAGGGAGUAAUUAAUUAAUUAAUGAUCUCUCCAAGACCAAA